CUCCACUUGUGGUAGAUGGUGGAUUCAGUUGUGGAUGGAGUUUCAGCUCCACUUGUGGUAGAUAUUGAGGACUCAGUUGUGGAUGGAGUUUCAGCUCCACUUGUGGUAGAAUUGAGGUGGAUUCAGUUGUGGAUGGAGUUUCAGCUCCACUUGUGGUAGAAAGCGAGGUGGAUUCAGUUGUGGAUGGAGUUUCAGCUCCACUUGUGGUAGAAAUUGAGGUGGAUUCAGUUGUGGAUGGAGUUUCAGCUCCACUUGUGGUAGAAAUUGAGGUGGAU